GCCAGACUCCUACGGGAGGCAGCAGUAGGGAAUAUUGCUCAAUGGGGGAAACCCUGAAGCAGCAACGCCGCGUGGAGGAUGAAGGUUUUAGGACUGUAAACUCCUUUUGUUAGAGAAGAUUAUGACGGUAUCUAACGAAUAAGCACCGGCUAACUCCGUGCCAGCAGCCGCGGUAAUACGGAGGAUGCGAGCGUUAUCCGGAUUUAUUGGGUUUAAAGGGUGCGUAGGCGGGCUGUUAAGUCAGCGGUCAAAUGUCGGGGCUCAACCCCGGCCUGCCGUUGAAACUGGCAGUCUCGAGUUGGAGAGAAGUAUGCGGAAUGCGCGGUGUAGCGGUGAAAUGCAUAGAUAUCGCGCAGAACUCCGAUUGCGAAGGCAGCAUGCCGGCUCCACACUGACGCUGAGGCACGAAAGCGUGGGUAUCGAACAGGAUUAGAUACCCCAGUAA
rnacentral:rRNA from 1 species